UAGUCAUAUGCUUGUCUCAGAGAUUAAGCCAUGCAUGUCUAAGUAUAAGCAAUCUUAUACAGCGAAACUGCGAAUGGCUCAUUAAAUCAGUUAUAGUCUACUUGAUCGUAUCUUCUUACAUGGAUAACCGUAGUAAAUCUAGAGCUAAUACAUGCUAAAAAUCCUGGACGCGGCAACGCGGAAGGGACGAGUUUAUUAGAUUAAAAACCGACACCUCUCCGCGAGGGGAGGUAGCACAGGUGAUUCACAGUAACCGAUCGGAUCGUCGGCCCCGCCGACGACGAUGCAUACGAGUUUCCGCCCUAUCAACUUUAGAUGGUAGAGUAUCGGUCUACCAUGGUCGUAACGGGUGACGGGGGAUUAGGGUUCGAUUCCGGAGAGGGAGCCUGAGAAACGGCUACCACUUCCAAGGAAGGCAGCAGGCGCGCAAAUUACCCAAUCCCGACACGGGGAGGUAGUGACAAGAAAUACCAUUGUAAUGUCUCCUCGAGAGGCUACGAUUGGAAUGAGUACAAUUUAAAUCCCUUAACGAGUAACGAUU
rnacentral:rRNA from 1 species